rnacentral:misc_RNA from 1 species
GGGAAACAAAUGGGCAAGGAUGGCUGCAGAGGUUGGUAGCUUUGAUCUUUUUCUAUUUACAUCAUAUUAAUGAAAUUCUAACUAUAGUCACGGACUUAAACCAGGGCAAUAGAUUCUUAGUGUACAUGCCUUUGCUACAAAAUUGUAUGUUAAGUGUCAAAGACACAGAUAGGAUGGAAUUUUUUAAAUUUUUUUGUUGUGAAUCCUAGUCAUUGCUUCAAUAAUCUUGUAUAAGAUCUUUUGGACGUUUUUGUGGAAUAGUUAUUAUUUCCACUAGAGGGGUUUAGGUUUUCCCCUAAUUUGUAUUGGAAAAACUUGACAAUGAUGAUAUUUGUUGGAAAUGUAAUAUUAACUUGUGUCUUGAAAGCAAAAAGCGUGGCCAACUGCCAAGGUCAUUUGGAGCCUGGGUGUAGCAUGUAAAAUGAACAAGUGCAUACUUAUAUAACAAAGUGAACUGCUUAAUUUCCAAAUAAAGGUAUAGCUAUUUUCAAGGGGAACAUUACUACUAUAUUAGUACGACACAACAAUUGUGAUUGAUUUAGCUCUAGAAGAUUCUGGCUAGUUUGUUCAACCAUAAUGAGAGGCGAAGUAUAACCAGUCAAUUGAUGUUGUGCAAGACUCAUGAUAGUUCGACAAGUGCCAAAAGAAGAAAGAAAACCAUUUUUUGUGCAUUGGCUGUGGUUUAGUGUUAAAAUUAAAGGUAAAAUAUGGCUAAUAAAAUAAAAGAAACAAAAUAAAGAUGAAGACAAAAAUGUGUUAAAAGAAAAGAAAAGAUAAAAUAAAAUCAAAUAAAAUAAAACUUAUUAAUAUCAGUAAAACUUGAUAAAAUUAGUAAAAACAACUAAUUAACCUAAAAACACUAUAAAAUUUAUAAAAUUACUCUAAUAUUAACAAAAUAUUUAUAAAAUCCUAUUAAUAUUUGAUGUGAUUUUUCACCCCAUCAUUUAGUAAAAUAUGCCUCUUCACUUUAUGGGAAAAGAAGGGCAACUUCCCCUUGCUGCUUUACGUCAAGUGAUUUAAGCAGAUAUGGGUGUGCUUUUACCAACGCUGGUCAAAACUCAUUUGACUUCUUGGUAAUAAUACUAUAUAGGCUUCUGCAACCCUUUUUUUAAUCGGUGUUGGAACAAUUUAAAAUUGCAACUGAAUAUUGGCUGACAUUGUUUGAAAUAAAAGAUUGCUUCUGUGGCUGCCAUAUGAGGUGAGAGACAGGAAAUCCAAAUCUAAAUAAAUGUUUGUUGAAUGUGUGAGUGCAUGAGGGAGAGAGAGCAUUACAAUGGGACUUCUAGAGGGGAAAGACCUCUUGCCCGGGGGGCAGCUAGGAGGGAGGAUUAGAGAUGUAAUACAUCUUGUUCAUGAGAGUUCAUUACUGUUUAAAUGAUGAUGUAUGAUCUUAGAAUAAUUGUUACAUUACCUAUUUUUCUUGGUUAAGUGAAAUGUACGUUAAGAACAGGUUUCCUUGUUAAGUGUAUGUAAUUUUUUUUUUUUUAUUGCUGACAGUAUUUCUAUUUUAUUAUGUUUUUCAAGAACUAUGCUUUAUCAGGAUUAGUGAGACAGACUAGUUAGUUUUUAAAUCACUGUAGUGCUUCUGAUUUUUUGAGAAUCAAUGCUGCAAACUAAAGUAAUUAACAGUGCUACUUCUAUAAUUUAUUCUUUUUCUGUUUUCCCUCUGAUUGUUACUGUAGUGUUCAUACUGAAAUAAUUGCAAUGACAUCCUUUUCAUGUUACAAAUUAUGUUCUGGUCUCAAAGAUUCAUAUUUGAAGUUGUGGAAUGGUAGAUGGUGAGAAGCUACCCUUUUGGCAUGGUAGUCUAUGUGCUGAAUCCUCUUUGCUGGUCCAAGAUUGUUAGCCUGGACUUCAUGAAUUUUGACAAUGGGAAUGUGGGUUGAGAGUUGAGACAUGAGUAUUGUUCAGAAUGUGCGACAUUGGAAGUAAAGAGUUGGCUUUUAUAUAUUUUAAAAUGGUGUAUCCGACACUGAAUGGGAUGAGCAAAGACUUUGUCAGGUGGAUAUUGAUAAAGGGAGCUGCUUUUAUGUUUCAAGGGGCUUUAUUCAGGAAGUUUGUCUGAAGCUAAGUUAGAUGUUCCUUGGAUGAAUUUUUUUGAAGAUGGAGGCUUCUAAAAUGAUGUUUCCUUGGAGGAAUUUUUUAUUUAUUUUAUUUUUGAUUGAGAAGCUGCUUGGAAGAGGAUUCUAACUAUUGAUGAUUUCCAGAAGAGGAUUAUAGGUAAUAGAUGUUUCCUUCAUAAUGAUGAUGAUAAAUUAGUGUGGUAUCUUUCAUUUUAUAACUUAGCUAGAUUGCUUUAGGAGUUGCCAUGAUCAUGUAUAGAUGCUUCUUUUGUUGCUACCGAGUCUCUGGAGGAAGAUUUGUGGGGUGGGAGAGGAAUAUUUUCUUGUAAUUAGGAAAAAGGAUUUCUUUGUAAGGAAAUCUUUUUUCUGUCACUGUAAUUUGGGUUCUAUGGAAGGAGAAAUAGAAUGUUUGAGGGAGGGAGGUGGGGAGCACUCACUAUGCAAGUAGAUAAGUGGCUGUAUACUUUAGACUUCUAAUAUUUAGAUUGCUGUACUUUGAGUGUGGAGUUAUAUAUAACUUCUUCAUUUAAAUGAAUGAUUGGCUCAUUUUUUUCUCUUGCAACAGAUGGAGAAGGAAUUUCUUCAAUUUUCAUCAGAAUAGAACCUAGGCUUCAUCUGGGUUUUGGGAGAAUGAUGUUUUUGAAUUUGUCAUUACAAAACCUGUGUAAUUUUGGUUUUACAGCACAAGAAUAUUUUUGCUUUGUUAAGAGAAACAAUGGCCGUUCCAAAUGUUUUUUCAUGAGUUUUAUUUCUUUUGCAGUUGCCUGGACGCACAGAUAAUG